UAUUUAGACACGUUUAAUGUUAGACAAAAUAAAGAUUUUAAACCGACAUGAAAUGGGUAAAAUGAAACUCUCCCUCGAGUGAAAGUGGUGCUUUAUACGUGCAAUGUAUGAUAUUGAUGGAGUCACGUCAAACAAAUAACCGGGAAAAAGGAAAAUAGACAUAAUAACAAGUUGGGAAAAAUUGAGAGAGAGUGCCGGAAUUUGAACUCUCGAUUUGUUCUUUGGUAUCAUGUUAGAUAAAAUAGUAUUUAUAAAAGCUUAAAUUAUUAGGAAAUGAGUAAAACGAUGCAUGUGUAGCAUAUUAUUAACAUUUACAUUGCGUACGUAAUGGUUUAAUAUUCUCUUUGCUCAUCUAGCUGCUAGGUUUAUGAUACAGUGAUUCAAUAUAUUUUUGUGUAUGCGUGAGGUGGAAAGUUUGAUCCCUCUAAUCUUUUUAGGAAAAUGAUCAAUUUAUGAGCUAAUUGGCCACACUAUCUUAAAAUAAGAAAGUCCCACUUGAUAUUGGUAUGUAUAAUUUAGGGGCAUGGGCAUGGAGAUGUCGACUACUCGAAGAGAGGUGAGCUGAUUAAACUUAGGCCUUUGACCGGUGCAAAUGGUCAUAAUUUAGAAUGUUUUGCACAUGUUUGGUGGGAUUCAAACAGAUGACCUCCAAUUCUUAAACUGGAAAUCCCCUAACAUCUCAACCGACUAUGCCAACAUUGAGAUUAUACUUAUUGAUUUUUUCUAUCUGCAAAAUGGUAGGGAGGGCCGACCAGCGCAACUGAGGCAUUACCAUAAGGUAGUAUUUUUUGCUGUAAUGAGAUCACACGUAUCAUUCUUGGAAGAUUUGACUAUACCCAUUUUGCUGGAGAACCGUAGAGCACUGAUGCCUUCACUGAAUGGUGGGUUGAAUACCGAGCAUUUCUUUUUCAUUGCAUGUCGACGUGGUGAUGUCGAAAAUCACUCAUUUUCUCCCUAGACUGAAUCAUCCAUUCGAGAGACCUUGUGAUAUGAUGUACAGCUAUGAUGACCUUUCUUCGGAAUAUCCAUCUGAUAAAGGUAUCAGCUUUAACAAUCAAUACCUAUAUAAUUUGCUUAGUUAUUCUUUACCUUAACUUUUAUCCUCUAUUGUCUUUGUCUUGCAGACAUGAGCAUCACAUCUCGCAAAAGAAAGGUUGAGAAUUACAUCAGUACCCCUGUUGAAGUCGAUCCUGAAACUCAUAUCUCAAUCUCCGAUACCAGUUCAUCUCCACCGAGGCGCAUCUUUGAAUGUCUGGCAAUGGAGUAUGCUGUCGAGGAGUUAGCUCAUUCUUUUGACUUAGCUUUGACAUCCUAUAAGUUCGACAGGAUCACAUCGAUGCCUUUGACAAGCUGGAAAAAUCAUACCUAGAUAGGCACGAGGAUUUGGAUCGAAAACAUGCUAUCCUUGCAUGUUAUCAGGCAGUCGAUGAUGUUCCAUUGCAGCAUCUGGCUGACCAACUCAAACAAGUGGAUCAAUUGGAGAUUACAUGCCUGGCUAUGGAAGAUGAGCUUUAAGAGGCCACCUCUGAAAAAGAUCAGUUCUUUAAGGCUAAUUGUAACCUGAAGACGCAUGUAUGCAACUUUUGUCUAAGGAUUGAGCAACAUUUCAUGUAACCAUAGAUUUAGCUCAUCUUGUACAUAUUCUAUGUUGCCAUAUAUUAGGGUCUUUGCUUUUAUUUAAGUCUAUGUGUAUUCCUUAUCCUUGUAUAUAUGCAACUUUCUUUUUCACUAAAUAUGCUCGAUCAAGGAACUUCA